GAUCAUGGCUCAGGAUGAACGCUGGCGGCGUGCCUAAUACAUGCAAGUCGAACGCUUCACUUCGGUGAAGAGUGGCGAACGGGUGAGUAAUACAUAAGUAACCUGGCAUCUACAGGGGGAGUAACUGAUGGAAACGUCAGCUAAGACCGCAUAGGUGUAGAGAUCGCAUGAACUCUAUAUGAAAAGUAGCUACGGGACUGGUAGAUGAUGGACUUAUGCGCA
rnacentral:rRNA from 1 species